rnacentral:pre_miRNA from 10 species
GAUGAAGGUCGACUGCAGCAUGGAAGACUAGUGAUUUUGUUGUUCUGUAAAUGAACCGACAACAAGUCAUUGUCUUCCUUGCGGCUUCACGGCA